GAUCCUGGCUCAGGACCAACGCUGGCGGCGUGCUUAACACAUGCAAGUCGAACGGAAAGAGAUGAGAGAGCUUGCUCUUUUAUUAAUUUCAGUGGCAAACGGGUGAGUAACACGUAAACAACCUGCCUUAAGGAUGGGGAUAACAGACGGAAACGACUGCUAAUACCGAAUACGUUCUAAGCAUCGCAUGGUGCAUAGAAGAAAGGGUGGCCUCUACAAGAAAGCUAUCGCCUUAAGAGGGGUUUGCG
rnacentral:rRNA from 1 species